ensembl:lncRNA MUC20-OT1 MUC20 overlapping transcript
AACCUUUGCUGUCUUGGGACGGAUCACCGCUGCAAGAGGGGAAGUUGCUACUGUGAUGAAUUCUGCCAUGUGGCACCAGACUGCCACCCAGACCACAGUGUCCUCUGCAACCCUGGUAACUCACAUACAGGCCCGAUUCCACCUACAGCAAAGCUGGAUGCGAUGGCUGGCAGAGGCAAACCCUUUGCCUGCACUUCAGGCCAAAGCCGGGAUGUGGCCUAGAUGGUUCCUAAGGUCCCUGACAAUCCUGAGAUCUUGCAUCUUGUCUAUUUCAGGUCAAAGGUGCCUACAUGCUCCUUCUAGCUUUGUUUCCCUGAUGUUCCUUGCCACCUGCUACUCCUCUCUGAGCUACUUUUCCAGGUUCCACAGGGAGAGGUUCAGCUGUCCGUGGUAGACAUGAGGGUAGAGAAUGAGGUGGUUGGGUUCCACUUACCUUUCUAUCAUCUUGCAGUAUGGAUGUCUCUUGACUGGUACCGUGUAGACUUUUGAGGGCACACAGGAGUCUGCAGAGAGAUACUGGGGACAUUGAGCAGCAGCAGUGGGGUUGGGAGGCAGAAAUGAGGACAGGAACAUUUACCUUGUGUUUCUCUCAGCUUCUCAGAUGACCAAGAUGGUGCUGCAGAUGGUGCUGAGGAUGGAGAACCCACCAAGCCCCGCUAGGAGCCACCUAGACUGGAUGCAGAGCAUGCUCCACCGGGAACUCCACGCCCACGCGCCUCACUUCCAGGUCUCCUUACUGCGUGUCAGGAGAGGCUAACGGACAUCAGCUGCAGCCAGGCAUGUCCCGUAUGCCAAAAGAGGGUGCUGCCCCUAGCCUGGGCCCCCACCGACAGACUGCAGCUGCGUUACUGUGCUGAGAGGUACCCAGAAGGUUCCCAUGAAGGGCAGCAUGUCCAAGCCCCUGACCCCAGAUGUGGCAACAGGACCCUCGCUCACAUCCACCGGAGUGUAUGUGUGGGGAGGGGCUUCACCUGUUCCCAGAGGUGUCCUUGGACUCACCUUGGCACAUGUUCUGUGUUUCAGUAAAGAGAGACCUGAUCACCCAUCUGUGUGCUUCCAUCCUGCAUUAAAAUUCACUCAGUGUGGCCCA